UAUACAUUGCAUCACAAUCUAGAUUUCAGAGGAAAGUUUUGGAUAGAAUAACCCAGACCCAAGUCUGGGUAAUUUAAAGCCUGGGUGAAAUGGAGCAGAAACAGCCCAGAAUAUACAGGCUAGAGAAACUCAGAACUACUGACCCACAGGGAAGGCAAGCGGGGAUAUGAGACAGAGGAAUCAAACGCUGCCCUGGUGGAGGACGCUGUGGGUUUACAGUGGAUGAUUCCCUCUGCCUAUGAGAUAAAAGGGCUGGCUGUGUACUUUGAACCCCAGCCUCACCCACCUCUGCCUGGGUGUGGCCCUUACUCUCUGGAAGCCUUACUCGGGAGAGCACAGGACAGUGUGAGGCCUGAAUCUCCAGGAAAUAGAGUCUGUGGGCAGCCAUUGACUCCAAGUCAAUGAGAACAGGGUGUGCUAUUUCCUCUGUGCUGUGUCUUCCCUGCCCCACUCCCCGCCCCUUUGUCCUAUGGUGCCCAGGCUGCCUGCACUGCUCAGAUGCCACAGGCCUUGCCAGGGGCCUCCUGAGAGGUUUCUGAGGCUUGCAGCUGGUGGUCCCGUUAGUCUGCACGUCUUCGAGUUCCCCUCCCAGAGGAGAAAGCAUAUGCUGCUGGGACCGACUGCAGCUCCUCAUGGAUGCACCUGCCACCAGGAAAUUGUUGUUCAGUCUGGGAUUGCUUUCUCUUCCCAAAGCACAAUCUCACAUGCAGUCAUGAGCCCGGUCCAGCCUCUGGGACAGAAGAUUUCGUGCUAUUAUAAACCAACAGCACUGCAGGUGCUGCACAAGGAAUGGAAAAUCAAUCUGAGUGUCAUUAAGAGCAUAUUCCCUGAAGAAGAUUGCUGAUGACAGUGGAUUUGUCACCCAACUCAGUAUCUUUUCCUGAGCAAUAGGAAUUUCUUCCAUGGGGAAUGAAACCUAGUGUUGUUUCCCUGCGUGAAUCCAGGCCUUUCACUGACCUGCCAAGUUUUCAUUCCAUUGUCUCACCGUCAUUGGCUGAUCUGAUCUCUACGUUGAUUAAUUAGUUUCAAGCCCCUUCAUACUGAUCUAAUAAAAUUGGCUUGUUUAAUUUGUGUCAGG